UAGGGGGCCUGAGACGGUGGUCCCCCACACUGGUACUGAGACACGGACCAGACUCCUACGGGAGGCAGCAGUGAGGAAUAUUGGUCAAUGGAGGAAACUCUGAACCAGCCAUGCCGCGUGAAGGAUGACGGCCCUAUGGGUUGUAAACUUCUUUUAUAUGGGAAGAAAACUUAUCUACGUGUAGAUAACUGACGGUACCAUACGC
rnacentral:rRNA from 1 species